rnacentral:RNase_P_RNA from 1 species
GAGUUGGUCAGGUAAUCGCUGCCUUAUGGUUGUGCCUUCGGGCAGACACAUAGGGGGGAGGAAAGUCCGGGCUCCGCAGGGCAGAGUGCUAGGUAACGCCUAGGGAAUGUGAAUUCACGACCAGUGCAACAGAAAGCAAACCGCCGAAGCCGCAUGCGGCUGGUAAGGGUGAAAUGGUGUGGUAAGAGCACACCGCGCUGCCGGUAACGGUUAGUGGCAUGGUAAACUCCACUCGGAGCAAGACCUAAUAGGCCUCAUUGACACUGCCCGUGUAAGAGGCGGGUUGGUCGCUUGAAUCGGAGAGCGAUUUCCGAUCUAGAGGAAUGAUUACCACUGCGAAAGCAGAACAGAACCCGGCUUAUAGACCAACUCA